UAUUUAAAGAUAAAUUUAUCUCCCUAAUAUCUUCAAUAUUAUACUCUUAACUAUAAGCUAUUUAAAU
rnacentral:tRNA from 1 species